GUACUAGGGAGUGGCUGGUGGUGGAUCGUUACUCAUAUGGUACUCGUGUAGAUAGCUUUUCCAUGUCUCUGUGUGUGUGUGUGUUAAGUUUAAGGUGCGAGAGUAGACCAAUCUGGUAACAAACUUGGUGAGUCUCAUCUGCCUCAUCUUAAAAUAAUACACAGAAUGGUCUGAUGCUCAUCCAUUCAGGUCUUUGAGUCUGCACUGUCUAGCACUGGGGUAUCUUGGGAAGGCCACUGAUUUAUUGCAGGAAUCACUCAUACGUUACUUAUGUGUAGUACUAGACAGUGGUUGGUGGGGUGUGCAUCACUUAUACAAUAAUUCUG